rnacentral:rRNA from 1 species
AUACGUAGGGGGCGAGCGUUGUCCGGAAUGAUUGGGCGUAAAGGGCGCGUAGGCGGCCCGGUAAGUCUGGAGUGAAAGUCCUGUUUUUAAGAUGGGAAUUGCUUUGGAUACUGUCGGGCUUGAGUGCAGGAGAGGUAAGUGGAAUUCCCAGUGUAGCGGUGAAAUGCGUAGAGAUUGGGAGGAACACCAGUGGCGAAGGCGACUUACUGGACUGUAACUGACGCUGAGGCGCGAAAGUGUGGGGAGCAAACAGGAUUAGAUACCCUGGUAGUCCACACUGUAAACGAUGGAUACUAGGUGUGGGUGUCGCAGGGCAUCCGUGCCGCAGCUAACGCGUUAGGUAUCCCGCCUGGGGACUACGGUCGCAAGACUGAAACUCAAAUGAAUUGACGGGG